CGGUAACAGCUCAAAUUUGAAAUCUGCCGCCAGGCCGAGUUGUAAUUUGUAGAAGAUGCUUUUGGUGAGGUACCUUCCGAGUUCCCUGGAACGGGACGCCAUAGAGGGUGAGAGCCCCGUCUGGUUGGAUACCGAUCCUCUGUAAAGCUCCUUC
rnacentral:rRNA from 1 species